CCUACGGGAGGCAGCAGUGAGGAAUAUUGGUCAAUGGACGCAAGUCUGAACCAGCCAUGCCGCGUGCAGGAAGACGGCCCUAUGAGUUGUAAACAGUUUUUGUACGAGGGUAAACGCUGAUACGCGUAUCUGUCUGAAAGUAUCGUACGAAUAAGGAUCGGCUAACUACGUGCCAGCAGCCGCGGUAAUACGGAGGAUUGAAGCGUUAUCCGGAUUUAUUGGGUUUAAAGGGUGCGUAGGCGGUCGGGUAAGUCAGAGGUGAAAUCCCGGGGCUCAACUUCGGAAUUGCCUCUGAUACUGGUCGGCUAGAGAGUAGUUGCGGUAGGCGGAAUGUAAGGUGUAGCGGUGAAAUGCUUAGAGAUC
rnacentral:rRNA from 1 species